rnacentral:rRNA from 1 species
UAGGUCGGUAUCGUUGGUGACCUGCGGAAGGACAUUA